rnacentral:rRNA from 1 species
AGUGAACGCUGGCGGUAGGCCUAACACAUGCAAGUCGAACGGCAGCACAGUAAGAGCUUGCUCUUACGGGUGGCGAGUGGCGGACGAGUGAGGAAUACAUCGGAAUCUACUUUUUCGUGGGGGAUAACGUAGGGAAACUUACGCUAAUACCGCAUACGACCUACGGGUGAAAGCAGGGGAUCUUCGGACCUUGCGCGAUUGAAUGAGCCGAUGUCGGAUUAGCUAGUUGGCGGGGUAAAGGCCCACCAAGGCGACGAUCCGUAGCUGUCUGAGAGGAUGAUCAGCCACACUGGAACUGAGACACGGUCCAGACUCCUACGGGAGGCAGCAGUGGGGAAUAUUGGACAAUGGGCGCAAGCCUGAUCCAGCCAUACCGCGUGGGUGAAGAAGGCCUUCGGGUUGUAAAGCCCUUUUGUUGGGAAAGAAAAGCAGCAGGUUAAUACCCCGCUGUUCUGACGGUACCCAAAGAAUAAGCACCGGCUAACUUCGUG